rnacentral:tRNA from 1 species
CUGGGGCUGGGGCUCAGUGGUAGAGCACUUGCCUUGCAUGUGUGAGGCAUUGAGUUCGAUCCUAAGCACCACA